GGUUAUUGUAACAGCGGGUGAGGUGGCGAUGAUGGGUCUGGCGGUUGGCAUACUCUCUCACAUCAAAACAUACCUGCAGGAGAGGUGGCGAUGAUGGGUCUGGCGGUUGGCAUACUCUCUCACAUCAAAACAUACCUGCAGGAGAGGUGGCGAUGAUGGGUCUGGCGGUUGGCAUACUCUCUCACAUCAAAACAUACCUGCAGGAGAGGUGGCGAUGAUGGGUCUGGCGGUUGGCAUACUCUCACA